rnacentral:lncRNA from 1 species
GAAAUCUUGCGAUAGGGAUAUAACAAAUGAUGUCACAAGAAGAGCGCAUGUGAUAUUAGAAGCUAUUUUUCCGAACAGCUCUCUUGGGGACCAAUGCGCAGGCGGGAGCUUGCAGCCUGUGAACCUCAUGGACGACAUAUGGGCGCAGCAGAGAAGAUUAGAAGCUGUGAAGCUAUACUACAGAGUCCUCGAGGCGAUGUGUAAAGCCGAAGCUCAGAUUCUGCACGUAAACAACUUGAACUCUUUGCUGACGAACGAGAGGUUCCACAGAUGCAUGCUGGCUUGCUCGGCCGAGCUGGUUCUGGCUACUCACAAAAGCAUCACGAUGCUGUUUCCUGCUGUUCUGGAGAGGACUGGGAUCACGGCCUUUGAUCUCAGCAAGGUGAUUGAGAGUUUUAUCAGGCAUGAGGAUUCUCUGCCUAGAGAGCUGAGACGGCAUCUGAACUCGCUUGAGGAGCGGCUUCUGGAGAGCAUGGUGUGGGAGAGAGGCUCCUCGAUGUACAACUCUCUGAUUGUCGCCAAGGCACCGCUUGCGUUGGAGAUUAAUAGGCUCGGAUUGUUAGCUGAACCGAUGCCGUCUCUUGAUGCUAUUGCAGCUCUUAUUAACUUCUCUGAAGGAUCAUCAAAUCAUGCGUCAUCUGUCCAAAAGCCUGAAGCAUGUCCAGGUAAUUAAAUUUGUGAUCGAGUCAAAGUAACUGAAACACUUCUUCUUUUUUGUGAUUUUCUUACUGAAAACUUCAAAUUUUACUGCCAUAAGAGGUUCUGGUUUGCGUUCAUUCUCUAUUCAGUGAAGAUGCUUACUGUGAGAAAACAAGUGGAUGGCCAGUCAGUGUCUGGUGAUAAUGGGUUUAAUCUGUGUCAGAUCCUUAGGGCUCUGAAGCUAAAGUACGUAAUCACCAAUUCAUCUUUCCUUCUAAUACAUUUUUGUAUUGAUUAACAUUAUUUUUUUCUGUUUCAGUAUUGUGGAUUUUUUUAAAGAGUUACCUCAGUUUGUGGUGAAGGCUGGUCCUGUGCUUUGUGAACUUUAUGGUGCUGACUGGGAGAACAGACUUCAGGUUCUUCCUUAGCUCUUUAUAUAUAACUUUAUCUUAGUGCAUCACUGCUUCUUCUAUUAACCUGUGUUAUCUUUUGCUUACUAGGCAAAGGAGCUGCAGGCUAACUUUGUGCAUCUUAGCCUUCUAAGCAAGUGAGUUUAGCUUCCCCUCCUGUGUUUCACUCUUAACUCAUUUUUAUUGUUCUGUGGCAUGAUAGUGGGUGUCAUCUAUACUGUUUUAUUACCUGAAUGUGAGAUGCAAACUUUCUCACUAUGCAAUAAUCAGAAGAAGAGCUUGAAUUUACAUAUUAUUUUUGGUAACAGAUACUACAAACGAGGGUACCGGGAGUUCUUCUUGACAUACGAUGCAAACGCUGAAAAGACCUCAGCAAACUCUGCUAGUUACUUGCCGGAUAGUUACCGUUUUGGAUGGUUACUCUUUCUAGCACUCCGAAACCAUGCUUUUAGUCGGUUUAAAGACCUUGUGACAUGCACUAAUGGCCUUGUUUCUGUAUUGGUUAGUGACUUGCUUUGGAGCACUCCUUAGUCUCUCAUUCACUUGCUUUGAGCACUCCCUAAUUUUUCCUUUUUGGUAUCAGGCUAUUUUGAUCAUACACGUUCCUUGUCGGUUUAGAAAUUUCAACAUCCAAGACUCUUCACGCUUUGGUAAGUGCUUAUUUUUUCUUCUAGUGGCUGCAUUGAAUAUUUAUUCUCUAAUUCUCAUUUUUGUGAUGAGUUUCAGUUAAGAAAGGUGACAAAGAUGUAGACUUGGUUGCAUCACUUUGCAAGAUAUAUGAUGCAUCAGAAGAUGAGUUGAGGAAAAUAAUGAACAAAGCAAAUAAUUUGAUAGAAACAAUACUGAAGAAGAAGCCAUCUUCAGCAUCUGCCUGCAAAACUGACACGCUAGAUAAUAUCAUCACAGGUUGGUCUAAAAGAACAUUUUCCUCUUCACAAAGUCAUAUAAGUUGAUUAAACCGUUACCUGAUUGUUCAUUUUCAGAUGGAUUGACCUACUUUGAGGAUUUACUGGAUGAAUCAUCCAUCUCAACCAGCUUGACCACACUAGAAAAAGACUACGAUGAAACAGUCUGUAACAAAGGCGAGCUUGAUGAAAGGGUGUUCAUCAACGAAGAAGAUAGCUUACUCGGAUCCGGAAGCUUAUCUGCAGGAGCUGUGAAUCUCACCGGCGCUAAAAGGAAAAUUGAUUCUUUGAGCUCACCCGCGAGGACAUUUAUAAGUCCACUCUCUCCUCAUAAGUCACCUGCAGCUAAGACAACUGUUACAGCAACACCAGUGAGCACAGCGAUGACAACUGCCAAAUGGCUCAGAACCGUUAUAUGUCCGCUUCCGCCAAAGCCUUCUCCUGGUUUGGAACUUUUCUUGAAAUCUUGCGAUAGGGAUAUAACAAAUGAUGUCACAAGAAGAGCGCAUGUGAUAUUAGAAGCUAUUUUUCCGAACAGCUCUCUUGGGGACCAAUGCGCAGGCGGGAGCUUGCAGCCUGUGAACCUCAUGGACGACAUAUGGGCGCAGCAGAGAAGAUUAGAAGCUGUGAAGCUAUACUACAGAGUCCUCGAGGCGAUGUGUAAAGCCGAAGCUCAGAUUCUGCACGUAAACAACUUGAACUCUUU